rnacentral:rRNA from 1 species
CCUACGGGAGGCAGCAGUGAGGAAUAUUGGUCAAUGGCCGGAAGGCUGAACCAGCCAUGCCGCGUGAAGGUCAGUGCCCUAUGGGCGUUAAACCUCUUUUGUGCGGGAGCAAUAAUGGUCACGUGUGGCCAGACGAGAGUACCGUACGAAUAAGCAUCGGCUAACUACGUGCCAGCAGCCGCGGUGAUACGGGGGGUGCAAGCGUUAUCCGGAUCUAAUGGGUUUAAAGGGUGCGUAGGCUGUGAGGUAAGUCAGCGGUGGAAUGCCCCGGCUCAACGGGGGGAAGUGCCAUUGAUACUGGGUGGCUGGAGUGCAGAUGCGGUGGGAGGAAUGUGUGGUGUAGCGGUGAAAUGCAUAGAUAUCA